rnacentral:rRNA from 1 species
AUAGAACGCUGGCGGCAUGCUUUACACAUGCAAGUCGAACGGUAACAGGGUGCUUGCACCGCUGACGAGUGGCGAACGGGUGAGUAAUGCGUCGGAACGUGCCGAGUAGUGGGGGAUAACGCAGCGAAAGUUGUGCUAAUACCGCAUACGUACUGAGGUAGAAAGUGGGGGACCUUCGGGCCUCACGCUAUUCGAGCGGCCGACGUCUGAUUAGCUAGUAGGUGAGGUAAAGGCUCACCUAGGCGACGAUCAGUAGCGGGUCUGAGAGGAUGAUCCGACACACUGGAACUGAGACACGGCCCAGACUCCUCCGGGAGGCAGCAGUGGGGAAUUUUGGACAAUGGGCGAAAGCCUGAUCCAGCCAUGCCGCGUGUCUGAAGAAGGCCUUCGGGUUGUAAAGGACUUUUGUCAGGGAGGAAAUCCCUAGUGCUAAUAACACUGGGGGAUGACAGUACCUGAAGAAUAAGCACCGGCUAACUACGUGCCAGCCGCCGCGGUAA